rnacentral:rRNA from 1 species
GAGGGGCAGCAUAACUUAGCUUGCUAAGUUGAUGGCGACCGGCGCACGGGUGAGUAACACGUAUCCACCUGCCGAUGACUCGGGGAUAGCCUUUCGAAAGAAAGAUUAAUACCCGAUGGCUCCGCAUGGUUAAAGAAUUUCGGUCAUCGACGGGGAUGCGUUCCAUUAGGUUGUUGGCGGGGUAACGGCCCACCAAGCCUUCGAUGGAUAGGGGUUCUGAGAGGAAGGUCCCCCACAUUGGAACUGAGACACGGUCCAAACUCCUACGGGAGGCAGCAGUGAGGAAUAUUGGUCAAUGGACGAGAGUCUGAACCAGCCAAGUAGCGUGAAGGAUGACUGCCUAUGGGUUGUAAACUUCUUUUAUACGGGAAUAAGUGAGGCACGUGUGCCUUUUUGUAUGUACCGUAUGAAUAAGGAUCGGCUAACUCCGUGCCAGCAGCCGCGGUAAUACGGAGGAUCCGAGCGUUAUCCGGAUUUAUUGGGUUUAAAGGGAGCGUAGGCGGACGCUUAAGUCAGUUGUGAAAGUUUGCGGCUCAACCGUAAAAUUGCAGUUGAUACUGGGUGUCUUGAGUACAGUAGAGGCAGGCGGAAUUCGUGGUGUAGCGGUGAAAUGC